rnacentral:snoRNA from 1 species
UUUAGUGAUUAAGAACACAGGCUUUGUUUUUCCCCAUCAGAUCGACCCUGUUGAUCUAACUAAACUAUUUGCCAGUUUUUGUCUGAUGCAUUGAA